AUAGCGUAUAUUAAAGUUGUUGUGGUUAAAAAGCUCGUAGUUGAACCUUGGGCCUGGUUGGCCGGUCCGCCUCACCGCGUGUACUGGUCCGGCCGGGCCUUUCCCUCUGUGGAACCCCAUGCCCUUCACUGGGUGUGGCGGGGAAACAGGAUUUUUACUUUGAAAAAAUUAGAGUGCACCAGGCAGGCCUAUGCUCAAAUACAUUAGCAUGGAAUAAUAAAAUAGGACGUGCGGUUCUAUUUUGUUGGUUUCUAGGACCGCCGUAAUGAUUAAUAGGGACAGUCGGGGGCAUCAGUAUUCAAUUGUCAGAGGUGAAAUUCUUGGAUUUAUUGAAGACUAACUACUG
rnacentral:rRNA from 1 species